GAGGAUCAAAGAUUUGAUUGUUGCAGGUUCUCCCAUCUAUCAAGAAUUUACAGGAUUCAGGAUUUGAUUGUUGCAUGUUCUCCCAUCUAUCAAGAGAAAUAUCUGAGGUCUCCAUUUCAUCUGAAAUUGCUAUGGGUUCUUCUCAUAGUCACGCCAGAUCUAUGGAGGUCCACUGCAAAUGCAACAUGAGAGCUUCUUUAUUGACAUCAAGGACAGAAUUUAACCCAGGUAGGAGAUUUUUCAGCUGCCACUAUUUUAAUCCAUCUGAUUUCUUUAAAAAGUAUGAUUUUUUCAAAUGGUAUGAUGGGGAGAUUAAUAGUAGGGCAGAAGAUUUGUUGAACAAGAUUAUGACUGAAAAUAAGAGAUUGAAGGUUGAGAUUCAUUGCGUGAGAAAGAAGGUUGAGCAGAUAGAAGAAGAAAGAGAUGUGUUGGAAACGAACAAUAAAUCACUGAAGCGGGAAAAUCUUAGAUUGAAGGGGAAAAUCCGAAUGAGGAGAAAGAGAUUCUCAUGUUGUAUUUUUUGCUUCCAUUGUAGUUGUUUUAGAUGUAAUAUUUGUGUUUGUACUUGGUGAGAAAACAAAUCAUGUAGCUUUGAAUUAGUUAGCAAUAUUGGCUUGUAUUCUGAUGAGAAAUGCAAAU